GACCUCAGAUCAGGUAGGACCACCGCCUGAACUUAAGCAUAUCAAUAAGGCGAGGAACAGAAACCAACAGGGAUUCCCCUAGUAGUGGCGAAUGAAGCGGGAAAAGCUCAAGUUUGAAAUCUGAUGGGCUCGUCCCCUCAGAGUUGUAAGCUGAAGAGGCAUCGACCGACGUCGUCCGGGCCCAAUUUCCUUGGAACAGGAAGUCAUUGAGGGUGAGAACCCCGUCUGUGACUCGGAGCCUUCGUCCUUGUGUCGUGUCCUCGAAGAGUCGGGUUGUUUGGGAAUGCAGCUCAAAAUGGGUGGUAAAUUCCAUCUAAGGCUAAAUAUUGACGAGAGACCGAUAGCGAACAAGUAGAGUGAUCGAAAGAUGAAAAGUACAUUGAAAAGAGAGUGAAACAGUACGUGAAAUUGUUGAAAGGGAAGCGUUUGGCAUCAG
rnacentral:rRNA from 1 species